CCUUGCAAUCCUUCCACCUCAGGCUAUGAUCUUGUCUGAUUGUACAAGCUAAACAGGGUUAGGUCUGGUUAACACUUAGAUGGGAGACCACCAAGUAAAAACCCAGAUGCUGCAGAGA
rnacentral:rRNA from 1 species